CCACGACAGCGGCUCCACGCCGCUCACCGGUGUCAGCAACUUCACCGCCGGUUUCCGCAACACCACAGGCUCCUGUGCGGAGCAAAAAUCACUGCCCGGUCCCGCUUCUGACGCAGACGACUCCCCCGCGUUCUCAGAGGUGGAGGACCCGUUUAGAUAUCUCCAGUGGCAUUCAGUCUUUACUAUGGGGACGUCAACCAUGCACAGAGUCUGGCCGGCGAGGUGUGGAACUGGUCCCGGCAGCUGGUGGUGGGCAGAGCAUGCCCUGUGGCAGUGCUAGGGGAGGACCGGGAGGACCAGGGCCUCGGCCUGCUCUCACCCUUGUCUCGCCCGUGCUAAUGGAAUAAGGCUGGGCCGCCCAUAUGGCACUUGUGGGAACAGUGGGACUCUGGGGGCUGGCAUAGAGAGCCACCACUCUGCUGUUAGAUAUUAAACAGGACAGGUCCUCACUGGGCUCUGCCCAUAGCCGGACAGCGUAAUGGAUGGGUUUGGUGAUUGGACAGCACUUGGAGCGGCCUGUGUGAACCCACCAAUGAGCAGAGCCAAAUAGUUGCAGCUGUGGAAAAUCAGGCCUGGAGAGUGUCCUUGACAAGUCUAGUUUACUUUAGUUACACCUUUUCCAUUGACCGUACGUGCUUAAACAUCUUUACAACUAACUGGAUUGGUAGCACCUAACUCAACUUUGUAGACCACACUGAGAAAGAAGGACGUUAUCAACAAGUGAUCAAUCAGUAAAGAUUCUUCAUCUUGAACCAAGGUGAUGAUGAUGCCUAGUCCGUUGUGGUUUGAGAGUGGUAGUACAAACCCAGCAGGACAACAGAACGUCCUUCAAGGGAAGCUCAAGGAAAAGUUUCCCUGCCAGAAUCCAUCAAUGAGUCAAAUGGAGAGAAUGUGGAUCAGUGCAGAGAGUUGACUGGAGUGGGGAGAAUCAGUACACUUGGCACCACAUCUAGUUUCCUGGAUGAAUUUCUAUGUUCUAAUGGAUAAA